CUCACCACCUGUUUCUUUCUGGGCUUCCAGAGCUAGGGCCUUCGCAGCCUCCACACUCGCGAUGAUCCCCUGGACCCACUUUCUCUCUCAAACUGUCUUUUUCUCAUUCCUUUGACUCCGCCGGACUUCAUCACGCCCACAACCUGGUGUUGGGUCUGAUCACCCCAACAAGCAUACACAACAGAAAAAGCUUUGACCUUUAACAACACCUGGAACCAACUAUUCCUCCCCUCAAAACAUGCCUGCAAUCCGAAGGAUUUUCAGAAGUGAGGGCUCUGCUGACCUGGAAGAUCUGGGGCUAAAAUCUGCCUCAACAUGCUUUACUGUAAAUGGUCAAAUUUGAAGCUCCCCAGUCGAAUCCUGCCAAGCCAACAUUCCCAAAUCCUGUCUCUUUUCCUCUGAUCUCAUAAAACUUGCCGCAGACUCCAAACUGGGGGACAGAUUUGAGCCUGUCUUUUUGCUGCCAGUUCUACAAUAAAGCCUUUCUUUUCUCAAAAGCUGGUGCCAUAGUUAUCAGCUUCUGUGAGCAUCAAGCAGUGAGCCCAUUUGCUCCAUAACAGAUCAUACCAUAUAGAGGUAAUAACCACUGAGAAAGGAGAUAAAGUACAGAGCAGUGAGGAUGCACAAUGCAUGAGUUAAUGAAGGGUGUUGUUUUAAGCCUCCACAUCCACAAAUACACUCAUAGUCUCACAGGAUGAAAGCAGGGUGUUGGUCAGGCUAUAGUUCUCAAAUAGGACUUGAGGAAAUUUUCCAAACCCAUUCAGAUUGUUAGCAAAAUUCAGUUCGUAGCAGCUAAAGGGCUAAGGCCCCCAGUCCCUGGCUGGCAAUCAAGCAAGGGCCACUCUCAGCUCCUAGGCCUUCUGCGGUUUCUUGCUAUAUGACCCCCCAUACACAAUUUACACCAUAGAUGUUUGCUUUCUUUCAGGCCACCCAGAGCAUGUCUCUCUUAUCUCCUCUUUGAUUAGCCAGGGAAAAGUCUCUGCUUUUAAAGGGCUCACCUGAUUAGAUUAGGCCCAGCAAGGACAUUUUUCUAUUAUUUUGUUGGGUUUUUUGUUUGUUUGUUUGUUCAUUGUUUGUUGAGACAAGGUAAUGCUAUACUGCCCAGGCUGUUCUCACAUUCCUGGGCUCAAGGGAUCCUCCUGCCUCAGCCUCCCAAGUAGCUGGGAUGACAGGUGUACACCACCAUGCCUGGCUAGAAAAGAUGGAAUCAGUGUUACUGAUUUCUCUUCACUAUCUUAAAGUCAACCAAAAGGGACCUUAAACAGAUCUGCAAAAUCCCUUUUGCUAU
rnacentral:lncRNA from 10 species